rnacentral:lncRNA from 1 species
GAGACACGGUCUCCCUAUGUUGCCUAGGCUAGUGUCUUAUUUCUGGGCUCAAGCGAUCCUCCCGCCUCAGCCUCCCAGAGAGUUGGUAUUAUAGGCAUGAGCCACUGUGCUGGCUUGCACCUAGAUUCUUAAAGAGAACAUUACUAGAACAUUACCGGAAGCCCCUUGUGCACUGUCCCCUGUGGGCCACUUCUCCCACCCCAUUCCUGUCUUUUAAUACUAGAGAUCAGUUGUGCUUGUUUUUGAAAUUUAUGUGAGUGGAGUAUACUAUGUAUACAGUACACAGUAAAUACUGUAUGUACCACUGCCUAUAUACAGUAUACUCCACAGUGAGUGAAACAAGCCAGACUCAGAAGCAUACAUACUGUAUGUACCACUUUGCUUAGUAGCCACAGUGUAUGCACCAUGGUACAUGCAUAUACUUCUGAAUCUGGCUUGUUUCACUCAUGGUUAGGUGUGCAGGAUUCAUCCAUGUUGUUGUGUGCAGUUCUUGCUUAUUUUACCAGUCUGUCUUAUCCUGAGAAUAUCUUUGACAUUCAACUCUGCAUGCAGACCCUUCCUUACACGUUCUAGAGAGAGGACCUGUCUUCACCCUGUGUUUAUUACCCACAUACUUGAACAGCUGUUUCCUCCAGGCAUCAUUAUGCAAAAGGAAUGAAACCCGGUGUGUGCAGCUUUUUUAGAGGACGUAAAAGGAGUCAGCUCUUGCCUCUCAUCAAUAGUAUUGUUUAUCAGUCAUUUCUCUUUUGAGGCAUUGGUUGAAUAAAUGGGAAAAUUCCUGCUUUCAAGGAACUUAGCAGACUUGUUGACAGAUAAGACCAUAAGAAGAAAGCCAGUGAAGUACCCAGUGAUGUGAACGCCAUGGUAUGAGCAAGUACAUAAUAGAGACCACAAGUGCUUUUUAGAAGUUAGAGAUAGUCAUUCUCUGGGGCUUCCUCAGGAAAAUCCUCGCUGAAUCUGGGAUCUAAACUGGGCCUUAUGAUUCUUGGAUAUAAGUUCCCUACUCCCCGCCCCACACCCCCUCUAAAAAAAAAGUACUAGAAGUUACACACAGAACUGUAGCCUUGGAGGCUGUAGGCAGUGCAUUUAAAGUACUUCUGGAGUGGUUUUGAGCUUCAGAGCAUUGACACACUUCCCUAAAUAACUGUGACAAUUCUUUCUAUUUGCUGUUGCCCAUCGGUGAUUUCAGUGGCCAGUAGUCAUACUGGAAAGUCUGAUAAUAAAGCAGGGGAUCAGUCAUGUGGUACCAAACCAGUUGUGGGGAAUGUUAGAUGUGUUAAGAUGUGAUUAGCAACGACAUUCCUGUUUGUAAACUGGCAUCUAUGGCGGUUUAAAAAUGGUGGCAAAACCAUUUUGAGUAUUGUUGGAAAUGUUAUCUGUUCUGCCGUGUUAAUAUACCUAUAAGUUGGUAGUUGCAUCUUGUACCCUUGAUAGUCAUACUUUGUACAUUGUGUAUGCCACUCUUCUGUUGAGUAAUUUGGAUUAAUUACUUUGGAGAUUGAAGUCUUGACUCAUUCACUUCACUCAUUUAUUUAGCUGUAUUUUCAGUUCCAUGCAAUGAGUGACACAGACUGUGCUGCCAAAAAGGAAUUCUCAGUAAGGGCAAUGCACAUAAAUUACUGUGUUACUCAGAAAUCAUGAAUAGUUGAGAUCACAAGGAAAUCUACUUAAAUUGUCCUGUGGUUGGGAAAAGAAACUAGUGGAAGGAAUAUGUUAAAAAAGCAUCUUUCUUAAAAUGUAUUCAAAAUAUUUUUCUCUACAAUUUAAGAGCAUUAGCAAAUACAACCUAGGAUGAAACUUUAACAGCCUUUGAGAGGGACAAGAAAUGAAAUUAAGGGUGAUAUAUGAUGCCAGUAUCAUCGGUGUAUUGGGUCUCAUAAUACAUACAAUACAUGGUAGUUAGUCAUAGGGAGAAAACAAACCUGGUGGCUGCUUUCUAAGAACAAAUCAGAUUUCUUGUGUAGCUAUGUGGUUUAACUGUUCUUGCCCUUCUUUUACAAAACUAAACAGAGUGCUGGUUCUCAAACUUUAGCAUGUUAUCAGAAUCACUUGGAAGAAGACUUCUUCAACACAUUGCUGAGUCCCAUUCCCAGAGGUUCAGAAAAUUAGAUGUUGACAUUUUCAAAGUGAACUUAAGAGAAGAUAAUUUCAAGAAUUAACAUUCUUGAAAUGACAAAAUUACAGAGAUAAGAGAACACAUUAGUGGUUGCCAGGAGUUAGGACUAGUGGCAGGAGGGAGGGAGAUGGAUGUAACUGUAAAAGGGUAGCAAGAGGAAGAUCUUUGUGGUGAUGAAGAGCCACCUCCUAGAUAAUCUUCCUCUUCAGCUGGUACUGUUUUAUAAAUGA